GACGAACGCUGGCGGCGUGCUUAACACAUGCAAGUCGAACGGAAAGGCCCUGCAUUUGUGGUUUGCUCGAGUGUCGAACGGGUUAGUAACACGUGAGUAACCUGCCCCUUACUCAGGGUUACCUUCACGAAACUGUGGCUUAUACCGGCUAGGAUCUCCUGCUUCAUGGAUUGUGACGGAAAGUUUCGGCGGUUGGGGAUGUACUCGCGGCUUAUCAGCUUGUUGGUGGGGUAGUGGCUUACCAAGGCUUUGACGGGUAGCCGGCCUGGGAGGGUGACCGGAAAGAUUGGGACGGAGAUACGGCACGGACUAGUACGGGAGGCAGCGGUGGGGAGGAGUACACAAUGGGCGGAAGGCAGAUGCAACAACGCCGCGUGGGGGAUGAGGGGAAUCAAGUUGUAAACCGAUUUCGCGUGUGACGAAGAGAAAGUGACGGUAAUGGAUAAGGAAGCACCGGCUAACUACGUG
rnacentral:rRNA from 1 species